UUGAAUUGAAUACGAAGUCAU
rnacentral:piRNA from 1 species